rnacentral:rRNA from 1 species
AGAGUUUGAUCAUGGCUCAGGAUGAACGCUGGCGGCGUGCCUAAUACAUGCAAGUCGAACGGGAAAUUUGUAUAGAGAGCUUGCUCAAAGUACUUAUUUCUAGUGGCGAACGGGUGAGUAACACGUGGGUAACCUGCCUUUCAGUUGGGGAUAACUAGAGGAAACUUUAGCUAAUACCGAAUAACUGUUAAGACGGUAUCGUCUAAACAUAAAAGGGGCUUUUGCCCCGCUGAUAGAUGGAUUCGCGACGCAUUAGGUAGUUGGUGAGAUAACAGCUCACCAAGCCAAGGAUGCGUAGCUGUACUGAGAGGUAGAACAGCCACAUUGGGACUGAGAUACGGCCCAAACUCCUACGGGAGGCAGCAGUAGGGAAUUUUCGGCAAUGGGGGGAACCCUGACCGAGCAAUGCCGCGUGAUUGAAGAAGAUCUUCGGAUCGUAAAGAUCUGUUAUUAGGGAAGAAUGGAAUUGAUAGGAAAUGAUCAAUUUAUGACGGUGCCUAAUGAGGAAGCCCCGGCUAACUAUGUGCCAGCAGCCGCGGUAAUACAUAGGGGGCGAGCGUUAUCCGGAAUUAUUGGGCGUAAAGGGUACGUAGGCGGGCCUGCAAGUCUGAUUUGAAAGCACACGGCUUAACCGUGUGAGGUAAUUAGAAACUACGGGUCUAGAGAGUGGUAGAGGUAAAUGGAAUUCCAAGUGGAGCGGUGAAAUGCGUAGAGAUUUGGAGGAACACCAGUGGCGAAGGCGGUUUACUGGGCCACAUCUGACGCUGAUGUACGAAGCGUGGGGAGCAAACAGGAUUAGAUACCCUGGUAGUCCACGCCGUAAACGAUGAGUACUAAGUAUCGGUAGAAUCGGUGCUCAAGCUAACGCAGUUAAGCACUCCGCCUGGGGAGU